rnacentral:rRNA from 1 species
GAUCCUGGCUCAGGAUGAACGCUGGCGGCGUGCUUAACACAUGCAAGUCGAACGAAGCACUUAAGAUUGAUUCUUCGGAUGACGUCUUUUGUGACUUAGUGGCGGACGGGUGAGUAACGCGUGGGUAACCUGCCUCAUACAGGGGGAUAACAGUUAGAAAUGACUGCUAAUACCGCAUAAGCGCACAGGGUCGCAUGACCUGGUGUGAAAAACUCCGGUGGUAUGAGAUGGACCCGCGU